UACGUAGGGGGCGAGCGUUGUCCGGAUUUAUUGGGCGUAAAGAGCGUGUAGGCGGCCAGGUAGGUCUGCUGUGAAAACUCGAGGCUCAACCUCGAGACGUCGGCGGAAACCAUCUGGCUAGAGUCCGGAAGAGGAGAGUGGAAUUCCUGGUGUAGCGGUGAAAUGCGCAGAUAUCAGGAGGAACACCAAUGGCGAAGGCAGCUCGCUGGGACGUGACUGGCGCUGAGACGCGAAAGCGUGGGGAGCAAACAGG
rnacentral:rRNA from 1 species